rnacentral:rRNA from 5 species
GCAUAAUAAUUAGUCUUUUAAUUGGUGACUGGAAUGAAUGAAUUUAUAAAAUUAAAUCUUUAUUUUUUUUAUUAUUAAAAUUUAAUAUAUAAGUGAAGAAGCUUAUAUUUUUCUAUAGGACAAAAAGACCCUAAUGAUUUUUAUUUUUAAAAUUUUUAUAAAAUUUUUAAAAUUUUUAAAUAGUUUAUUAAAAUUUUACUGGGGCGGUAAUUAAAUAAAUUUAACUUUAAUUUUAUACUGAUUUUAAUCUAUUUUAUGAUCCUUUAUAAUGAUUAAAAGUAAAAAAUACCAUAGGGAUAACAGGUUAAUUAAUUUAGAUAGUUAAUAUUGAAAAGUUAGA